AUGGACGGCACCAAAGCCAACACCACCACGAUCAGUCCCCGGAAGCCGCGGGUGAUGCUCUACUGCUCCCCACUCAUUGGGCACCUUGUCUCCAUGGUCGAGCUCGCCAAGCUCUUCGUCGCCCGUGGACUAGCCGUCACCAUCGUCCUCAUGGACCCGGUGUACGACACCGGCGCUACGGGGCCCUUCCUGGCCGGCGUCUCCGCGGCCAACCCCUCCAUCUCUUUCCACCGUCUACCACAGGUGGAGCUUCUCGAGUCUGACCACUCCAUGAUACCAGCCUUAGCCAUCGCCCGCCACUCCAACCCGCACCUACGUGACUUUCUCGCUGGCGCCUCCCCGGACGUCCUCGUGGUGGACUUCUUCUGCAGUGCCGCUGUGGACGUGGCCGCGGAACUCGGCAUACCCGUCUACUUCUUCAACACCUCCGGCGCCCAGAUCCUGGCUUUCUUCAUGCACCUCCCGGUUCUGCAUGGGAAAAGCACGAGGAGCUUCCGGGAAAUGGGCGAGGAAAUCGUGCACGUCCCGGGGAUCGCCUCCUUCCCGGCGACCCACACCAUCCAGCCGCUCAUGGACCGUGACGGCGCGUCCUACAGUGCGUUCCUAAACGUGAGCCUCAACCUGUUCCGGUCACAGGGCAUCAUCGUCAACACCUUCCGCUCGCUGGAGCCUCGUGCCAUGGACACCAUGCUCGCCGGGCUCUCCGCCCCACCCGGCCUCUCGACACCCCCGGUCUACUGCAUUGGGCCGUUGAUCAAGUCGGACAAGGUGGGUGUGAAGCGCGGCAAUGAGUGCCUCGCAUGGCUGGACGCGCAACCCAAGGCCAGUGUGGCGUUCCUGUGCUUUGGCAGCCUCGGCCGAUUCAGCGCUAGCCAAACGAGAGAAAUGGCCACUGGGCUGGAGGCUAGUGGAAAAAGGUUUCUCUGGGUCGUGCGGAGCCCGCCAAGCGAUGACACGACGACAGAGCCGGACUUGGAUGUGCUGCUUCCGAAGGGUUUCCUGGACCGGACCAAGGGCAGGGGCCUUGUCGUGAAGUCUUGGGCGCCACAGGGUGACGUGCUAGCACAUCACGCCGUGGGUUGCUUCGUGACACACUGCGGGUGGAACUCGGUGCUCGAGUCUAUUAUGGCUGGCGUGCCUAUGGUGGCGUGGCCGUUAUACGCGGAGCAGAGGAUGAAUGCGGUAUUUCUCGAGAAAGAGAUGGAGCUGGCCGUCCCGAUGGAAGGGUACGACAAGGACUUGGUGGAGUCUAAGGAGAUUGCCAAGAAGGUCAAGUGGAUGAUGGAUUCAAAAGGCGGGAAGGUGCUCCGAGAGCGGACUCAAGCGGUGAUGCGGCAGGCGAAAGAGGCUCUGCUCGAGGAUGGAGAAUCAAUGGCGACAUUGGCGGGGCUUGUGGAUGCGUGGAUUCAUGCUUGA
rnacentral:rRNA from 1 species